rnacentral:lncRNA from 1 species
UGUGUGUUGUGUGUGUGUCAGAUGCGGGCUGUGUGGCGACUGCUAACAACAGUGUUGAGUGGCUGCAGAAGAACUUUGGCCCGUUCUCUCAGUUCGUGUCUCUCACAGAUCUGAUCUCCAUCAACAGACUCUUUGAUCCCUUGGAGACCCUGGACAAUCUCACUCCCAAGCAGGUGGCUGGACUGUUGGUUGAAGAGCUACCUGGUCUCCCAGAGAAGAAAGUCGUCAUCAAUACAGUGUUUGAUCAUCUGUUUGUGUCUCCUGUGGAGCGAGGACUUCCUGAUGUUCUUCAAAACCUGCUCUCAAUCUCACAGACGGUAAAAUUUACACAGUUGUUCUCAGUGGCUCUCCAUCAAACACUACUCUGAUGCCUCCUGGUUUCUUUUUUUACAUGUGGUUUGUCUUAAAUUAUAUUUAAAGUAAAUCUGCAAUGGUCAAAUAAGUGAGUUUGAUGAAUCCUAUGCGUGACAACAGCAUUGAUGCUUGUUUGUGUUUCUGCAGACCAUUAUUCCGUGCAGCUCCUACAUACUGAUGUAAGUGUACUUGGUACAUGAUAUUGAGUCUCUGGCCUCUUUGCACUGAGAUCUGCUGUAAUUCUGUGGUUCUUUCUCAGAUUCCAGAGGCUGUUUCAGGCGUUACCUUUCCUGCCGACGGAGAUGGAGACUGUGGUCUUCCAAACAACUGGAGAACUCAAGCAGAAUGGAGCAAGAGACUGUUCACUUCCUGAACCGCCAACAGUACCUGAACCUCCAACAUGUCUGUUCACUCCUGUGAAUGCUACCAGAGUUUGUUCAGGAGUCAACAGUAACGAGACUCUCCUAUCCGCUGCAUCCGUGAGCGCCCCCUGUAGUGUGGACCUGCAGCAAUACAUUUGCUCUUCGCUCACCGGCAUCACUGCUGGAAACCUGGCUGAACUCCUGAAGUGUCAACUUUCAAGCAGCAGAACUUACUCCAAGGAGAUCUGGAAACUAUUUUUCACCAAAGCAAAUGAUGUUCUGGACGGAGCCCUCGUCAUAUUCUCCAGCGCAGCAGCAAAUAUGUCUCAGCCAAUCAGAGGUGAUGUCGUGUCCCAAGUGCUGGAUGUGGUUGGAGAGCUGAGACUGGAGCGCAUCAGUCCUGACCAAUGGACAGACCUCUCUUUCAUCAGCAUGUUGUUGGGUCAAUAUCUGAAGCCGUUUUUACCAUUUGCGUCACCAUCCCUACUGCUGUGCACCAGCAGCAAAAACCUCAGCUGCCAAACUUACCAGCACAUUCUGUCAGAGGUCCCACUCGUCAAUGAGAUUCAAGGAAGAGACAUGGCAAACUUCUUCAUUCUGCCCUUCCUGAGAAGAAACGCAACAGAUGCGGGCUGUGUGGCGACUGCUAACAACAGUGUUGAGUGGCUGCAGAAGAACUUUGGCCCGUUCUCUCAGUUCGUGUCUCUCACAGAUCUGAUCUCCAUCAACAGACUCUUUGAUCCCCUCGAGACCCUGUCUAAUCUCACUCCAGAGCAGAUGGUUGGACUGAUUGUUAAUACUCAGCCUGGUGUGCCACAGAAUUUCAUCAUUAAUACUGUUUUUGAUCAUCUGCUCGUGUCUCCUGUGCAACGAGGAUUUCCAGAUGUUCUUGAGCUCCUUUAUAUUUUCUCCACAAGGAAUCCACUCAGCUGUCAAACCAACCAGAUAAUCUUCACGAGGCUGGAGCAGAUCUUGAGCUCAGGAGCGGGUGAUCUGGAGCCUGUCAUCUGGAAGAGCCUUUAUAACUUCAGCAGCACGGCUCCUGCAGACUGCACUCUUCUUCCAGUCGUGAAUGAGUGUCCCGUGACUCCAUUCAACGAGACUCGGGUGUGCAGCGGAGUGGACAGUUCUGCAGCACAGCAGUGCUUGAACGAAGGACGGAUUUGUGGCUUCAGUAUUGCAGCACAUGCAUGUGCCCCGGUGCUGGAUGUGAACAUGGACUAUCUGGUCACACUACUGAACGCUCAUCUGUCUGUGGAUGACAUGAGCUCAGCUGAGAGCUGGAAACUCUUCCUGACCAGAGUCUCAAACCUGCUGGACGUCGCCCUCCUCCAGCUCUCCAACCAGUCGGUGUGGUGGAGCAGCAGCUCUGCCUCUGUGGCUCUGGACGUCCUGCGGGAGCUGCGUCUGGACAGACUGACGGAUGAGAGCGCUGUAGUGCUGUGGCUCGAUGAACACCUGCGAGCGUUCCUGCCCAGUGCGUCUGGGACGUUCCUGCAGUGUCUGCGCAGCCAGAACCUCAGCUGCCAGAGCUUCCAGACAGUGUAA